rnacentral:rRNA from 1 species
AGUGAACGCUGGCGGUAGGCCUAACACAUGCAAGUCGAACGGCAGCACAGUAAGAGCUUGCUCUUACGGGUGGCGAGUGGCGGACGGGUGAGGAAUACAUCGGAAUCUACUUUUUCGUGGGGGAUAACGUAGGGAAACUUACGCUAAUACCGCAUACGACCUACGGGUGAAAGCAGGGGAUCUUCGGACCUUGCGCGAUUGAAUGAGCCGCUGUCGGAUUAGCUAGUUGGCGGGGUAAAGGCCCACCAAGGCGACGAUCCGUAGCUGGUCUGAGAGGAUGAUAAGCCACACUGGAACUGGGACACGGUCCAGACGACUACGGGAGGCAGCAGUGGGGAAUAUUGGACAAUGGGCGCAAGCCUGAUCCAGCCAUACCGCGUGGGUGAAGAAGGCCUUCGGGUUGUAAAGACCUUUUGUUGGGAAAGAAAAGCAGCAGGUUAAGACCCCGCUGUUCUGACGGUACCCAAAGAAUAAGCACCGGCUAACUUCGUG